UGGACAGAUUAUUGUAUUCGACUGUAUUCAUGGCGUGAAACAGGGGAUUACACUGUUUUUAAACGUAAAGUGAAUCAAUUAACAUAAUAGACUCCU
rfam:Nicotiana sylvestris Nsyl_contig91320, whole genome shotgun sequence.